rnacentral:rRNA from 1 species
AGAGUGCAGUUGAAACUGUAUAUCUUGAGAGCAGCAGAGGAGAACGGAAUUCCUGGAGUAGCGGUGAAAUGCGUAGAUAUCAGGAAGAACACCAGUAGCGAAAGCGGUUCUCUGGGCUGCAACUAACGCUGAGGUACGAAAGCUGGGGGAGCGAACGGGAUUAGAUACCCCGNGUAGUCCCAGCCGUAAACGAUGGACACUAGGUGUUGGUGGUUCGAUUCCAUCAGUGCCGGAGUUAACGCAUUAAGUGUCCCGCCUGGGGAUUACGGUCGCAAGACUGAAACUCAAAGGAAUUGACGGGGGCCCGCACAAGCGGUGGAGCAUGUGGUUCAAUUCGAUGCAACGCGAAGAACCUUACCGAGAUUUGACAUCCCGUGCCCAUAUGUGAAAGCAUG